AACCUUUUUAGGCAAAUGUUGGGGGAUAAUAAUUUAAUUUCUUCAUCAUUUUUCUUUAAUUUCAGUAAAUGUCACAUGACCAGGCCAUGAAAUGAAGCCAGUUUUAGAAAUUUUCACUGUUCUAUUUAAUCUGACUUUUUCCUCCCAGUUGACUUUAAUGCUGUUUGUUGUUCAGUAAAAUUGAUUUAAAAUUCAUCUGAAAGCAGAAGAUGGAGUCAGUCAGAGUCUCCAAAAUGUCCCGUCUGAGUGCAUGAGAGUGAUUGUAAAUGAACACCUCGUCUCCUUGUGACACCCUGCUGUCUCUGACUUCAUCCUGCUGCUUUUGUCUGAAUAAGGGUGUAUUCAGACCAGGAUAGUUCGAUAGUUCACUUGCUUUGGUCCGAACCAAAUGUUUUGUUUUUUUUUUUCAUUUUGGUGCGGUUCGCUUUCACACUGUAUAUUUUAGUAAGCGGACCAAAAUCUGUCAGCAAAGCCACGCGCCCUGAGGUCGUUCAGCUAUUGGUCAGAGACGACACGCGCACAAAGCGUUAAGUUCAAAAGUAGUCAUGGAGGCUUUCCGUGCUGUUAUUCUUUUUAAUGUCAUCAAAGCUAUAUGUUUUUUCCAGUUUUUACUGUUUUCACAAUUGUGCGAUUACUAUGCUGUUGUACAAGUAAUUUAUCAAAGACGACUUCAAAGGGCAAGGCGGCUACGGAGGAUAGCGCUGAUGAGCGCACAUCAUGUUGUGACAGUUCUGGCUCUUCACGCAAGACGGAGGAGUUGGUGGUGAACAUCUGUGCAUGUGAUGAAUACUCUGGUGUUCCUGCAUUUCCAUGUUGAGGAACAGACAACACAUUCAUAAACACAUCAGUCAUUUAGAUCUGCAUGAAACUGCCUGGACCUCAGUCCCUUAAAAACCCUGAAAGAGCAGGUGAAAAAGCACAGGGACUCGAGCUGAACCCAGUCAGUGGAAGAGGGAGCUGAAAUGGACAGGAACAGUUUCAGAACAUUGGUGGGAUUCUCACCUGACAGGAUCGGCAUUUCAGGAGUUAAUCUGAGGCCCUGAGGAGACUCAGCACAAGGCCACAUUUAUCACUUUGUCCUUUGGUUGGUGUUUAAUGUAGUUUAGAUCUUUUUAUUACAGGAUCAGACCGAAUCUGUUCAUAAUUUUCUCUGAUAUGAGAUCAGUGCCCCCUCUUACUUUAGUAUACACGACUUACAGUAUUUUUACAGAAUUGAACCAAAUACAUUGAGCAAAUAAUUAUAUUAUUCAGUCUAGUUAUUUUUGUUGUAUGAAGUUUAUGUAUGUAACAUGAAUUUUGUAGCAAUAAAGUUAACUUCUGUAUCAGUUAUUCAAAAUAUAUAAGAACUUUAUGUGGGGGCUACAUUAUCUGUUACUUCUUGGGAUUUCAGGUGUAAUGCUUAAGAGAUUGAGAAACACAAACUGUUUUUGUAAAACCAAUAACAAGCAUUUUUUAUUAAAUGUCAAUAUUUUCA